AGCUUCUUAGCGCAGUAGGUAGCGCGUUGGGCUCAUACCUAGAUCCUAUGGAAGUUCCUCUCCACUUUCGGGUGGAGAUACCCAAAGGUCGUCGGAUCGAAACCGACAGAAGCUA
rnacentral:tRNA from 1 species